GUCGGCGAACAUACCACGUUGAAAGCGCAGGUUCUCGUCCGAUCACCGAAGUUGAGCAACGUAGGGCCCGGUUAGUACUUGCAUGGGUGACCGGCUGGGAAUACCGGGUGUUGCCGGCU
rnacentral:rRNA from 1 species